UUCUAGCUAGUCUAGUGGUCAGGAUUCCCGGUUUUCAACCAGGCAGCCCAGGUUCAAUUCCUGAGCAGAGAA
rfam:Sus scrofa isolate TJ Tabasco breed Duroc chromosome 1, whole genome shotgun sequence.